CACCCUCUCUGGCCCCGCCCCCUUCUUGGGGGGCCGCUCUGAUUGAAAAAUGUCCGAGCCUAAUUUUUUUCCCAGUUCGGCCCUGUCCACUACCCUUUCUAUAUCAUUGUUAGCUGUGACUGCUCCCACUGGAAGGCUAUUCCAGGUAUCCACUACCCUUUCUAUACCACUGUUAGCGCUCCCAGUGGAAGACUGUUCCAUGUAUCUACUACCCUUUCUAUAUCACUGUUACUGCUCCCACUGGAAGGCUAUUCCAGGUAUCUACUACCGUUUCUAAAUCAUUGUUACUGCUUCAACUGGAAGUGUAUUCCAGGCAUCUACUAACCUUUCUUUUUCACUGUUACUGCUCCCACUGGAAGGUUAUUCCAGGUAUCACUGCCCCCAAUGGAAGGCUAUUCCAGGUAUCUACUACCCUCUCUAUAUCGCUGUUACUGCUCCCACUGGAAAGCUGUUCCAGGUAUCUACUACCCUUUCUAUAUCCCUGUUACUGCCCCCACUGGAAGGCUAUUCCAGGUAUCUACUACCCUUUCUAUAUCACUGUUACUGCUUACACUGGAAGGCUAAUCCAGGUAUCUACUACCCUUUCUAUACCACUGUUACUGCCCCCACUGGAAGGCUAUUCCACGUAUCUAAUACCCUUUCUAUAUCACUGUUACUGCUUACACUGGAAGGCUACUCAAGGUAUCUACUACCCUUUCUAUACCACUGUUACUGCUCCCACUGGAAGGCUAUUCCAGGUAUCUACUACCCUUUCUAUACCACUGUUAGCCAUUAUUGCUUCCAAUGGAAGGCUAUUACAGGUAUCCACUACCCUUUCUAUAUCACUGUUACUGCUCCCACUGGAAGGCUAUUCCAGGUAUCUACUACCCUUUCUGUAUCACUGUUACUGCUUCCACUGGAAGGCUAAUCGAGGUAUCUUCUACCCUUUCUAUAUCACUGUUACUGCUCCCACUGGAAGGCUAAUCCAGGUAUCUACUACCCUUUCUAAAUCAUUGUUACUGCUUCAACUGGAAGUGUAUUCCAGGCAUCUACUACCCUUUCUUUUUCACUGUUACUGCUCCCACUGGAAGGUUAUUCCAGGUAUCACUGCCCCCACUGGAAGGCUAUUCCAUGUAUCUACUACACUUUCUAUAUCACUGUUACUGCUUCCACUGGAAGGAUAUUCCAGGUAUCUAUUACCCUUCCUAUAUCACUGUUACUGCUCCCACUGGAAGGCUAUUCCAGGUAUCUAAUACCCUUUCUAUAUCACUGUUACUACUCCCACUGGAAGGCUAUUCCAGGUAUAUACUACACUUUCUAUAUCACUGUUAGCCUUUAUUGCUUCCACAGGAAGGUUAUUCCAGGUAUCUAAUACCCUUUCUAUAUCACGGUCACUGCUUCCACUGGAAGGCUAUUUCAUGUAUUUAAUACCCUUUCUAUAUCACUGUUACUGCUC